CUAAGACAUCCAAAGCAGGAGUUGAGAGUGGAAGGGAUACGCCUACAUGUUGAAGGUAUCAGUUCCCCUGGUAGGAGACUUCAGUAAAGGCCAGGAGCAUACUGCAAGUGCUGCAUAUCCGCUCUGUUCUCGAAAUGCCUCGUGAUCCCCUAAAAAGUGCAAGAGGAGGAGGCAGGGGAAGACAGCAUUCACACCUUUCUGCUGAGCAUGCAACCGCCUCAACCUGACCUAGAAAGCGCAGACAAACAGAUGGAUGGAUCCAACAGUGGUUGCUUGGAAAAAAGGUACACUGUGUAAAUUUCACCCAGAUGCAAUCACAUGGUUAAGGCUGUCUGUGGGUCAUUGGUGUAGGGGUAUAAUUCUUGCUUAGGGUGUGAGCGGUCCCGGGUUCAAAUUCUGGACGAGCCCUGAGAUUCAGGAAUUUGAGUGCUUCUUUUGGGUUGUCUGUUUUCAUUUUUCAAGUUUGAAACCUUUAGGAACAGUGGGAAAGCUACAACAUACUAGGGAGGUGAGAGUCAAACUGCUCCACCUACAUGUUGAAGUUCCCAGUUCAAAUGUUUGGGAGGUAUGCCGGGCACAUCAAGGCUGGAAGAGACUGCAAGCUGACAUGGAAAUUGAAGACAAAUUGAUGAAUGGCAGGAUGGAUCCAACAGUAGUUGCUGGGGAGAAGGUACACUGAACCAAAUUCUCCCAGCUGCAAUGGCAUGGCUGAAGUGCUCUGUGGCUCGUUGGUCUAGGGGUAUGAUUCUCGCUUUGGGUGCGAGAGGUCCCGGGUUCAAAUCCCGGACGAGCCCAGGAGUCAGGAAUGUGGCUACUUACUGUGGGGUUUCUGCCUAGGUUUGGAGCUGUUGGGAAGCUAAGACAUCCUAAGAAGGAGUUGAGAGUGGAAGUGCUACGCCCACAUGUUGAAGGUAUCAGUUGAGAGGUAUGCUGGUCACAUCCCCCUGCUAGGAGACUGCUGUCAAUGGAGGAGGAGCAUACUGUAAGUGCUGCAUAUCCUCUCUCUUAUCGAAAUGCCUCGUGAUCCCCCUAAACAGUGCAGGUGGAGGAGGCAGGGGAAGACAGCAUUUAGCCAUUUUUGCUGAGCAUGCAACCACUGCAACCUGACCUGGAAAGUGAAGACAAAUAGACGGAUGGAUCCAACGGUGGUUGCUGGGAAAAAAGGCACACUCUGCAAAUUUCGACCCGCUGCAAUCGUAUUGUUGCUGCUUUCUGCGGCUCGUUGGUCUAGGGGUAUGAUUCUCGCUUAGGGUGCGAGAGGUCCCGGGUUCAAAUCCCGGACGAGCCCAAAGGUGAGGAAUGUGGCUGCUUAUUGUGCGUUAUGUCGUUAUGUGGCUUGUUCUUAAAAGUGUUGAGAAGCUAAUACAUCCUAAGAAGGGGUUGAGAGUGGAAGUGCUCUACCUACAUGUUGAAGGUGUCAGUCAAGUCAGUUGGGAGGUACGCUGGGCAUGUCCUCUUGGGAGGAGACUUCAGUAGACACCAGGAGCAUACUGAAAGUGCUGCAUUUCCGUUGUGUUCUUAAAAUGCCUCACGAUCCCCUAGGCAGUGCAAGAGGAGGCGGGGAAGACAGCAUUUAGGCAUAAAUGCUAAACAUGCAACCGCUGCAACCUGACCUGGAAAGUGAAGACAAUUAGACGGAUAAAUGGAUGGAUCCAACAGUAGUUGCUUGAAAAAAAGGUACACUGUUUAGAUUUCACCCGUCUGGAAUCGCACGGUUAAUGCUGUUCGUGGCUCGUUGGUCUAGGGGUAUGAUUCUCGCUUCGGGUGCGAGAGGUCCCGGGUUCAAAUCCCGGACGAGCCCAGGAGUCAGGAAUGUGGCUACUUACUGUGGGUUAGCUGGCUGGGUUUGGAACUCUUGGGAAGCUAAGACAUCCAAAGAAGGAGUUGAGAGUGGAAGGGAUACGCCUACAUGUUGAAGGUAUCAGUUCCCCUGGUAGGAGACUUCAGUAAAGGCCAGGAGCAUACUGCAAGUGCUGCAUAGCCGCUCUGUUCUCGAAAUGCCUCGUGAUCCCCUAAAAAGUGCAAGAGGAGGAGGCAGGGGAAGACAGCAUUCACACCUUUCUGCUGAGCAUGCAACCGCCUCAACCUGACCUAGAAAGCGCAGACAAACAGAUGGAUGGAUCCAACAGUGGUUGCUUGGAAAAAAGGUACACUGUGUAAAUUUCACCCAGAUGCAAUCACAUGGUUAAGGCUGUCUGUGGGUCAUUGGUGUAGGGGUAUAAUUCUUGCUUAGGGUGUGAGCGGUCCCGGGUUCAAAUUCUGGACGAGCCCUGAGAUUCAGGAAUUUGAGUGCUUCUUUUGGGUUGUCUGUUUUCAUUUUUCAAGUUUGAAACCUUUAGGAACAGUGGGAAAGCUACAACAUACUAGGGAGGUGAGAGUCAAACUGCUCCACCUACAUGUUGAAGUUCCCAGUUCAAAUGUUUGGGAGGUAUGCCGGGCACAUCAAGGCUGGAAGAGACUGCAAGCUGACAUGGAAAUUGAAGACAAAUUGAUGAAUGGCAGGAUGGAUCCAACAGUAGUUGCUGGGGAGAAGGUACACUGAACCAAAUUCUCCCAGCUGCAAUGGCAUGGCUGAAGUGCUCUGUGGCUCGUUGGUCUAGGGGUAUGAUUCUCGCUUUGGGUGCGAGAGGUCCCGGGUUCAAAUCCCGGACGAGCCCAGGAGUCAGGAAUGUGGCUACUUACUGUGGGGUUUCUGCCUAGGUUUGGAGCUGUUGGGAAGCUAAGACAUCCUAAGAAGGAGUUGAGAGUGGAAGUGCUACGCCCACAUGUUGAAGGUAUCAGUUGAGAGGUAUGCUGGUCACAUCCCCCUGCUAGGAGACUGCUGUCAAUGGAGGAGGAGCAUACUGUAAGUGCUGCAUAUCCUCUCUCUUAUCGAAAUGCCUCGUGAUCCCCCUAAACAGUGCAGGUGGAGGAGGCAGGGGAAGACAGCAUUUAGCCAUUUUUGCUGAGCAUGCAACCACUGCAACCUGACCUGGAAAGUGAAGACAAAUAGACGGAUGGAUCCAACGGUGGUUGCUGGGAAAAAAGGCACACUCUGCAAAUUUCGACCCGCUGCAAUCGUAUUGUUGCUGCUUUCUGCGGCUCGUUGGUCUAGGGGUAUGAUUCUCGCUUAGGGUGCGAGAGGUCCCGGGUUCAAAUCCCGGACGAGCCCAAAGGUGAGGAAUGUGGCUGCUUAUUGUGCGUUAUGUCGUUAUGUGGCUUGUUCUUAAAAGUGUUGAGAAGCUAAUACAUCCUAAGAAGGGGUUGAGAGUGGAAGUGCUCUACCUACAUGUUGAAGGUGUCAGUCAAGUCA